rnacentral:rRNA from 1 species
UACGUAGGGUGCAAGCGUUUAAUCGGAAUUACUGGGCGUAAAGCGUGCGCAGGCGGUUUUGUAAGUCUGUCGUGAAAUCCCCGGGCUCAACCUGGGAAUUGCGAUGGAGACUGCAAGGCUAGAAUCUGGCAGAGGGGGGUAGAAUUCCACGUGUGAGCAGUGAAAUGCGUAGAUAUCAGGAGGAAUACCGAUGGCGAAGGCAGCCCCCUGGGUCGAUACUGACGCUCAUGCACGAAAGCGUGGGGAGCAAACAGG